rnacentral:rRNA from 1 species
CUAUGCGCCUUGCCAGCCCGCUCAGGUGUGCCAGCCGCCGCGGUAAUACGUAGGUGGCAAGCGUUGUCCGGAUUUACUGGGUGUAAAGGGCGUGUAGCCGGGCCGGCAAGUCAGAUGUGAAAUCCCAAGGCUCAACCUUGGAACUGCAUUUGAAACUGUUGGUCUUGAGUAUCGGAGAGGCAGGCGGAAUUCCUAGUGUAGCGGUGAAAUGCGUAGAUAUUAGGAGGAACACCAGUGGCGAAGGCGGCCCGCUGGACGGCGACUGACGUUGAGGCUCGAAAGCGUGGGGAGCAAACAGG